CAGAUGCGAGCUUCAACUGGAAGCCAGUGGAGUGUGCGGAGGAGCGGGGUGACGUGAGAGAACUUGGGAAAGUUGAACAGAGGGGAGAGGUGCGCUUGUGAAGUUGGAAAACAUUUUGUAUCUCCAGGCUCAAAGCAUCAGUCCACCAGCUGAACACUCAGUCAGACUGGUGAAUGGGACCACUUCCUGUUCUGGGAUUGUGGAAGUCUUCUACGGAGGAGAGUGGUCAGGUCUAUGUCCUGCGUGGUGGUGGGGCAUGAGAGAGGCUAAGGUUGUGUGUAGAGAGCUGGGCUGUGGGAAUGCUGUAGCUGA